UACGUAGGGGGCAAGCGUUGUCCGGAAUCAUUGGGCGUAAAGAGCGUGUAGGCGGCCAGAUAGGUCUGCUGUGAAAACUCGAGGCUCAACCUCGAGAUGUCGGCGGAAACCAUUUGGCUAGAGUCCGGAAGAGGAAAGUGGAAUUCCUGGUGUAGCGGUGAAAUGCGCAGAUAUCAGGAAGAACACCCGUGGCGAAGGCGGCUUUCUGGGACGGUACUGACGCUGAGACGCGAAAGCGUGGGGAGCGAACAGG
rnacentral:rRNA from 1 species